rnacentral:rRNA from 1 species
AUUGAACGCUGGCGGCAGGCCUAACACAUGCAAGUCGAACGAGUGGCGGACGGGUGAGUAAUGUCUGGGACACUGCCUGAUGGAGGGGGAUAACUACUGGAAACGGUAGCUAAUACCGCAUACCAUCAGAUGGGCCCAGAUGGGAUUAGCUAGUUGGUGGGGUAACGGCUCACCAAGGCGACGAUCCCUAGCUGGUCUGAGAGGAUGACCAGCCACACUGGAACUGAGACACGGUCCAUACGCCUACGGUAGUAAGUAGUGGGGAAUAUUGCACAAUGGGCGAAUGCCUGAUGCAGCCAUGCCGCGUGUAUGAAGAAGGCCUUCGGGUUGUAAAGUACUUUCAGCGGGGAGGCGUUACCCGCAGAAGAAGCACCGGCUAACUCCGUGCCAGCAGCCACGGUAAUAC